AGCCUAUUCCUGCUCUUUUCCCAAGGAUUAUCAAACACAUUUGGUGUGUGUCAUCAUAGUGGUCUCUGAUUUGUGGUCAGACUCGCUCAGAUGGAACAAACUUAAGCCUUUUUUCAAUGUUGAUUUGAAUGUCAUUGAGAAAACAAAGCAGUGUGAAAUAUUUUUUUUCCGCAAACAUCCUUUCUGAAUUUAAACGUAUCUGUAAUCUGAUGACAAUAUUUUUACUGUGUUUAACAGGUGUAAAGAAUUCCCCCAGCACGAAUGAGCACGUCCUCAUGACUGAACUGCAGUACCGGAAAUGCCCUCUGAAGACAGUUGUAGCAUCCCGAGUCAGUAGCCUCCCGAGUCAGCUGUUGAACUCAGCUGACCCAACGAUAUGAUCGCAGAGAAACAUGCUGAUCUAACGACUGAUUUCUGAUGAAAGUCAGUUCCUCUUAAUUGUGGGGCUGCAAUGUCUACAACUUCAGAGUAAUUUAAACAGGCUAAGCAAGCUUUUUAUCUCAGUGAAGGACGUGUUAGCUGCUAGCUAGCUAACUGUGUCAGUAAGCUAGCUAGUUACAACAGUUAGCUACACAGCUGAUCAAGUCACUGCACUGCCACUGCGACCAAACUCCUUGCACAGAAUUUGUGCAGGAGAUUUUUUCUUCUCACAAUUGCAAACUAUUAAAUCACUGCCACAACAUUUAUAAUAAUUUAGCUAGCUAGUUAUUCUGCCCAUUUCAUGGAGUCAUACGAGGGCGCAGUGAUAUAAAAAAAUCUUGAGUGAUGCCAUCUGACUUGAGACAAUGUCCUCCUGCAGUACUGAUCCACCAG
rnacentral:lncRNA from 1 species